UACGUAGGGGGCAAGCGUUGUCCGGAAUCAUUGGGCGUAAAGGGCGUGUAGGCGGUCCGUUAAGUCGGCUGUGAAAGUCCAAGGCUCAACCUUGGGAUGCCGGUCGAUACUGCCGGACUAGAGUUCGGAAGAGGCGAGUGGAAUUCCCGGUGUAGCGGUGAAAUGCGCAGAUAUCGGGAGGAACACCAAUUGCGAAGGCGGUCUCCUGGGGCAUUCUUGACGCUGAGGCGCGAAAGCUGGGGGAGCAAACGGG
rnacentral:rRNA from 1 species